rnacentral:rRNA from 1 species
AUUGAACGCUGGCGGCAGGCCUAACACAUGCAAGUCGAACGAGUGGCGGACGGGUGAGUAAUGUCUGGGAAACUGCCUGAGGGAUGGGGAUAACUACGGGAAACGGUAGCUAAUACCGCAUACCAUCGGAUGUGCCCAGAUGGGAUUAGCUAGUAGGUGGGGUAAAGGCACACCAAGGCGACGAUCCCUAGCUGGUCUGAGAGGAUGACCAGCCACACUGGGACUGAGACACGGCCCAGACUCCUACGUGAGGCAGCAGUGGGGAAUAUUGCACAAUGGGGGAAAUCCUGAUGCAGCCAUGCCGCGUGUAUGAAGAAGGCCUUCGGGUUGUAAAGUACUUUCAGCGGGGAGGCGUUACCUGCAGAAGAAGCACCGGCUAACUCCGUGCCAGCAGCCGCGGUAAUUC